CCUACGGGGGGCUGCAGUGGGGAAUAUUGCACAAUGGGCGCAAGCCUGAUGCAGCCAUGCCGCGUGUGUGAAGAAGGCCUUCGGGUUGUAAAGCACUUUCAGCGAGGAGGAAGGGUAGUGUGUUAAUAGCACAUUGCAUUGACGUUACUCGCAGAAGAAGCACCGGCUAACUCCGUGCCAGCAGCCGCGGUAAUACGGAGGGUGCAAGCGUUAAUCGGAAUUACUGGGCGUAAAGCGCACGCAGGCGGUUUGUUAAGUCAGAUGUGAAAUCCCCGCGCUUAACGUGGGAACUGCAUUUGAAACUGGCAAGCUAGAGUCUUGUAGAGGGGGGUAGAAUUCCAGGUGUAGCGGUGAAAUGCGUAGAGAUCUGGAGGAAUACCGGUGGCGAAGGCGGCCCCCUGGACAAAGACUGACGCUCAGGUGCGAAAGCGUGGGGAGCAAACAGGAUUAGAUACCCCAGUAGUC
rnacentral:rRNA from 1 species